rnacentral:rRNA from 1 species
CUUGAACGCUGGCGGCAGGCCUAACACAUGCAAGUCGAGCGGAGCGACGGACGGGUCAGUAAUGCCUAGGAAUCUGCAUGGUAGUGGGGUAUAAAGUCCGGAAACGGGCGCUAAUACCGCAUACUAUCAGAUGAGCCUAGGUCGGAUUAGCUAGUUGGUGGGGUAAAUGACUACCAAGGCGACCAACCGUAACUGGGCUGAGAGGAUGAACAGUCAAACUGGAACUGAGACACGGUCCAGACGCCUACGGGAGGCAGCAUUGGGGAAUAUUGCACAAUGGGCGCGAGCCGGAUGCAGCCAUGCCGCGUGUAUGAAGAAGGCCGUCGGGUUGUAAAGGACUUUAAGCGGGGAGGCGUUGCCAGCAGAAGAAGCACCGGCUAACUCCGUGCCAGCAGCCGCGGUAAUUC